rnacentral:siRNA from 1 species
GGUAAAGCCAAUGAUUAGAGGC